rnacentral:rRNA from 1 species
UACAGAGGUCCCAAGCGUUGUUCGGAUUUACUGGGCGUAAAGGGCGCGUAGGCGGCGUGACAAGUCACUUGUGAAAUCUCCGGGCUUAACCCGGAGCGGUCAAGUGAUACUGUCGUGCUAGAGUGCGGAAGGGGCUACUGGAAUUCUCGGUGUAGCGGUGAAAUGCGUAGAUAUCGAGAGGAACACCUGCGGCGAAGGCGGGUAGCUGGGCCGACACUGACGCUGAUGCGCGAAAGCCAGGGGAGCGAACGGG